UACGUAGGGUGCGAGCGUUGUCCGGAAUUACUGGGCGUAAAGAGCUCGUAGGUGGUUUGUCGCGUUGUUCGUGAAAACUCACAGCUCAACUGUGGGCGUGCGGGCGAUACGGGCAGACUGGAGUACUGCAGGGGAGACUGGAAUUCCUGGUGUAGCGGUGGAAUGCGCAGAUAUCAGGAGGAACACCGGUGGCGAAGGCGGGUCUCUGGGCGGUAACUGACGCUGAGGAGCGAAAGCGUGGGGAGCGAACAGG
rnacentral:rRNA from 1 species